AUGGGCCGAAUUGGUUCUGCACCUUUGGAAAGGGUCUCAGACUUGAUUGAUGACUACACAGGAAAUUGGAACGUGGACUUGGUCCGUGAAAACUACCUUCUCCCGGAUGCGGAGGUAAUUCUGAAUAUCCCUCUGAACCCGGCUGGGGGUGAAGAUACUUUGGUGUGGGCCUUGGAAAAAUCAGGUCAGUAUACUGUUAAAUCGGCGUAUCGCUCUCUAAUGACUCGCAACGAGCUUAGCACUCCAGAGGAAGGGACGAUCACGGAUACUUUAUCAUCAAACAAACAGUUAUGGUCUGCUUUGUGGAAACUGCAUGUCAUACCAAAGGUCCGAGUGUUCUGGUGGAGGGUGCUCCGCGGUAUCCUACCGGACGCUGCAACUCUGAAGUACAGACAUAUAAAACCUAUAUGCCGGUGCGAUAUAUGCCUGGCCAUGGAUGAAACGCUUAUGCAUGCACUCAUAUUGUGCACACAUGCUAAGUCGUUGCCAAGGAUCGGCUUUACCUGA
rnacentral:rRNA from 1 species